AGGGAAAGAGGGAGGGAGGAAGAACAAAGGCAAGUCGAAAGGCAGCACAGUAAUAGCGUGCUCUUACGGGUUGCGAGUGGCGUGCGGGUGAGGAAUACAUCGUAAUCUACUUUUUCGUGUGGGAUAACGUAGGGAAACUUACGCUCAUACCGCAUACGACCUACGGUUGAAAGCAGUGGAUCUUCUGACCUUUCGCGAUUUAAUUAGCCGAUGUCGGAUUAGCUAGUUGGCGGGGUAAAGGCCCACCAAGGCGACGAGCCGUAGCUGGUCUGAGAGGAUGGGCAGCCACACUGGAACUGAGACACGGUCCAGACUCCUACGGGAGGCAGCAGUGGGGAAUAUUGGACCAUGGGCGCAAGCCUGAUCCAGCCAUACCGCGUGGGUGCAACAGGCCUUCGGGUUGUAACUCCCUUUUUUUUGGAAAGAAAAGCAGCAGGUUCCUACCCAGCUGUUCUGACGGUACCCAAAGAAUAAGCACCUCCUCCCUUCGUC
rnacentral:rRNA from 1 species